rnacentral:rRNA from 1 species
UACGUAGGGUGCAAGCGUUGUCCGGAAUUAUUGGGCGUAAAGAGCUCGUAGGCGGUCUGUCGCGUCUGCUGUGAAAACUCAGGGCUUAACCCUGAGCUUGCAGUGGGUACGGGCAGACUAGAGUGCGGUAGGGGAGACUGGAAUUCCUGGUGUAGCGGUGAAAUGCGCAGAUAUCAGGAGGAACACCAAUGGCGAAGGCAGCUCGCUGGAACGGAACUGACGCUGGAGGCGCGAAAGCGUGGGGGAGCGAACAGG